rnacentral:snRNA from 1 species
AUACUUACCUGGUACGGGGGCCUCGUUGAUCACUGAGGACGAGCCCCCAGGGCGAGGAGCGGCCACUGCACGGCGCUCGCGUUGACCCCUGCCACUACCCCAAACUGGGGCAGAUGGGGUAUGCAAAUUGCUUAAAUUCGGUUCAACGGAAGAGAGGGCGCCACCGCC